rnacentral:rRNA from 1 species
CGGAACGGGUGCGUAACACGUGAGCAACCUACCGAAAUGAGGGGGAUAGCCGUCCCAACGGACGGGUAAUACCGCAUACGCUCUUGUCCAGGCAUUUGGAUAAGAGGAAACCUCCGGGGCAUUUCGAGGGGCUCGCGGCCUAUCAGCUAGUUGGUGAGGUAACGGCUCACCAAGGCGACGACGGGUAGCUGGUCUGAGAGGAUGGCCAGCCACAUUGGGACUGAGAUACGGCCCAG